UUUUAGAUGUUUACAUUUAUUAAAGCAGAUCAACAACAUAUUGGAGCUAUAAUUUUGUGCAUGUAGAAGGUGCUAGUGUGAGGAAGGUUAAAAAAGACAUUACUAGAAUAACUUUUUGUUCCAUCAUUGUAUGAUAUUACUUUAGGUGUUGUCAAGGCUACCAUUAUUGGAAUGAUUCUUUAGGAAAACUUGUGUUGACUGUUGCUAUUCUUUGGGCUUCACUACUAGAAAAG